rnacentral:rRNA from 1 species
GUGGGGAAUCUUCCGCAAUGGACGAAAGUCUGACGGAGCAACGCCGCGUGAGUGAAGAAGGUUUUCGGAUCGUAAAGCUCUUUCGUUAGGGACGAACGUGCUCUUUGUGAAUAAUGAGGAGUAAUGACGGUACCUAAAUAAGAAGCCACGGCUAACUACGUGCCAGCAGCCGCGGUAAUACGUAGGUGGCAAGCGUUGUCCGGAAUUAUUGGGCGUAAAGCGCGCGCAGGCGGGAUAUCAAGUCUGUCUUAAAAGUGCGAGGCUCAACCUCGUGAGGGGACAGAAACUGGUAUUCUUGAGUGUCGGAGAGGAAAGUGGAAUUCCAAGUGUAGCGGUGAAAUGCGUAGAGAUUUGGAAGAACACCAGUGGCGAAGGCGACUUUCUGGACUGUAACUGACGCUGAGGCUCGAAAGCCAGGGGAGCGAACGGGAUUAGAAACCCGAGUAGUCC